rnacentral:lncRNA from 1 species
UUGCAAAGGUAUCUCUCAGGCAAACACACCACAAAUCCCAUAGCCUCAUCUCACAAACAUCACUCGUGUUUUAAGAAUUUGUUAUAUUAUAUCAACAAAAAAAGCUGCAACCAUGUUGGUUGAACUUGCACUUGCUUUAAUGGUGAUUGCUCUAUUUAUACACUUGCGUCCAACACCCACCGCUAAAUCAAAGGCACUUCGCCAUCUUCCUAAUCCACCAUGUCCUAAACCUCGUCUUCCUUUUAUUGGUCAUCUUCAUCUUUUGGAUAAUCCUCUUCUUCAUCAUUCUCUCAUCCGUCUUGGAGAACAGCUAAAUCAAAGGCACUUCGCCAUCUUCCUAAUCCACCAUGUCCUAAACCUCGUCUUCCUUUUAUUGGUCAUCUUCAUCUUUUGGAUAAUCCUCUUCUUCAUCAUUCUCUCAUCCGUCUUGGAGAACGUUAUGGCCCUUUGUACUCUCUUUACUUUGGCUCCAU